rnacentral:tRNA from 2 species
GGAGAAUUACUCAAGAGGCUGAAGAGGACGGUUUGCUAAAUCGUUAGACUGAGAAAUCGGUGCAUGGGUUCGAAUCCCAUAUUCUCCU